UACGGAGGGUGCAAGCGUUAUCCGGAUUCACUGGGUUUAAAGGGUGCGUAGGUGGGCAGGUAAGUCAGUGGUGAAAUCUCUGGGCUUAACUCAGAAACUGCCAUUGAUACUAUCUGUCUUGAAUACCGUGGAGGUCAGCGGAAUAUGUCAUGUAGCGGUGAAAUGCUUAGAUAUGACAUAGAACACCAAUUGCGAAGGCAGCUCACUACACAAUCAUUGACGCUGAGGCACGAAAGCGUGGGGAUCAAACAGG
rnacentral:rRNA from 1 species